CGCACUGGGCCCAGAUGAUGGUUUUGAGACUUCUCCAGAACCGACACAUCAAGACGGACUGAUUUGCAGGGGAAGGAGGCUAGGAAAAUUGGGAAUCGAAAAAAAAAUGGUGGUUUUGAAGGAAAGGUGGAGGGCCAGGUGGAGGGAGACCUGGGAUCUCACACCCCUUUUUCUGUCCCCCCUGACAGUGGGCGCUCUACCUGUUCCUGGUUAAAUGCAUGAUCAGCGUUUCCACCUUCUUACUCCUCUGCCUCAUCGUGGCCUUUCAUGCCAAAGAGGUCCAGCUGUUCAUGACCGACAACGGGCUGCGGGACUGGCGCGUGGCGCUGACCCGGCGGCAGGCGGCGCAGAUCGUGCUGGAGCUGGUGGUGUGUGGGCUGCACCCGGCGCCCGUGCGGGGCCCGCCGUGCGUGCAGGAUUUAGGGGCGCCGCUGACCUCCCCGCAGCCCUGGCCGGGAUUCCUGGGCCAAGGGGAAGCGCUGCUGUCCCUGGCCAUGCUGCUGCGUCUCUACCUGGUGCCCCGCGCGGUGCUCCUGCGCAGCGGCGUCCUGCUCAACGCUUCCUACCGCAGCAUCGGAGCUCUCAACCAAGUCCGCUUCCGCCACUGGUUCGUGGCCAAGCUUUACAUGAACACGCACCCUGGCCGCCUGCUGCUCGGCCUCACGCUUGGCCUCUGGCUGACCAC
rnacentral:sRNA from 1 species